GAUGGAGAAAAACAAAGUGCUGGCAAAAAAGAGGCUACGGGUUCCGACUCAGAAAAUUGAAGGACCUGAGCUCCCCUCCCCCAAAUGAGCAAUCUGAAAUUCAUUUCCAUCGGUGAAUCCAUCACCUGACGGGGGACAUGCAACAGGCCGCAACACAGCUGGACCACCACCCUAUGGAUCCAGGCCGGGUCAGAGAGCUUCAGACUCUCUGCGACUUAAUUGGAGAGAGAUCUGGUGGCAGCCUAGCUUCACCAUCAGGCCAGCAGGAGCUGUUUCCUGGGAGCGGCAUAUUCAUCUCAUCAUUCCGCCUGGCUGCCAUGAAUCACGCAUCAAAACCAAAUUGCAUGCGUCUGUUUCAUGCACUUUUUGAUAAUUUCUUCACUGUUGAGUGUCAAAAUGCAGUGCCCUUUGGUCACCCUGGCAACAACCCCUCAGGAAAGGAAGGAAAGCAGGUCCUUGACUGUAAAAAAGUUGACUGAAUCCUAA
ensembl:lncRNA